GACGAACGCUGGCGGCGUGCUUAACACAUGCAAGUCGAACGGAAAGGCCCUGCUUUUGUGGGGUGCUCGAGUGGCGAACGGGUGAGUAACACGUGAGUAACCUGCCCUUGACUUUGGGAUAACUUCAGGAAACUGGGGCUAAUACCGGAUAGGAGCUCCUGCUGCAUGGUGGGGGUUGGAAAGUUUCGGCGGUUGGGGAUGGACUCGCGGCUUAUCAGCUUGUUGGUGGGGUAGUGGCUUACCAAGGCUUUGACGGGUAGCCGGCCUGAGAGGGUGACCGGCCACAUUGGGACUGAGAUACGGCCCAGACGCCUACGGGAGGCAGGAGUGGGGAAUAUUGCGCAAUGGGCGGAAGCCGGAUGCAGCAACGCCGCGUGCGGGAUGACGGCCUUCGGGUUGUAAACCGCUUUCGCCUGUGACGAAGCGUGAGGGACGGGAAUGGGUAAAGAAGCACCGGCUAACUACGU
rnacentral:rRNA from 1 species